ensembl:snoRNA small nucleolar RNA, H/ACA box 68
CAGGCACCUAAACCCAAGAACUGCUGUUUCUUGUAGCAGCGGUUUAAACACAGGUGCUAACAGCAAGCGGAUCCUGUCGCCUUUGAGGGGCUGUGGCUGUGCCCCUCAAAGUGAAUUUGGAGAUUCUACACCU